CCCCUUUUCCUUGUUUAAAAUGGAAUGAUCUGAAAAACUAAAAAGAUCUGACGUGGUUCUAAAAAGCCUCUUUUAAUUUAGAAAUGCUUUAA